GAUGAACGCUGGCGGCGUGCCUAAUACAUGCAAGUCGAGCGAACAGACGAGGAGCUUGCUCCUCAGACGUUAGCGGCGGACGGGUGAGUAACACGUGGAUAACCUACCUAUAAGACUGGGAUAACUUCGGGAAACCGGAGCUAAUACCGGAUAAUAUAUUUAACCGCAUGGUUCAAUAGUGAAAGACGGUUUUGCUGUCACUUAUAGAUGGAUCCGCGCCGCAUGAGCUAGUUGGUAAGGUAACGGCUUACUAAGGCAACGAUGCGUAGCCGACCUGAGAGGCUGAUCGGCCACACGGGAACUUAGACACGGUCCAGACUCCUACGGGACGCAGCAGUCUGGAAUCUUCCGCAAUGGGCGAAAGCCUGGCGGAGUAACGCCGCGUGAGUUAUGACGGUCUUCGGAUCGUAAAACUCUGUUAUUAGUUAAGAACAACUUUGUAAGUAACUAUGCCCUUCUUGACGGUACCUAAACAGAAAGCCACGGCUAACUACGUG
rnacentral:rRNA from 1 species